GCAGAACAACAUGCUUUUAUUUUACCAUCAUGCAUAAAAAGGAAGACAAAUAUGCCAAUGGUACACUUCCAAUUUGUCAGAGCAAUUUCACAGUAUUUAAGCAAUUUAGGAAAAAAGACACAUCACUUACUAAGUUGUUACCAGGGAAAAUUAUCAUGUAAGACAAUCAAUUAAACCACACUUUUGUAGAUUAUUUUUCCACGAAGGCAAUUUGACAAGCCUAACAAAGACCAAGUUGUUCAAACUAUGUUUCUAGGAAUAUAGUUUAACAGAAACAAGAACAAGUUGAAAACUGUUAUGAAUAUUCAUAUGUCUCUAUAUUGUACAGGAAAGUAAAGACUAUUGUUCUUCCAAAUGUUCCCAAUUGAAAUCAAAAGAAUGUCUGCACAGCUCAAUUUUCACAAUAAGUUUAGAAACAGAAAAAAAAUAAGAUUUUACUAAAUCCUAAUGAAAUAACAAUCACCCACAUAAAUCAGGUCACAAAACAAGCAAGCAAGCAUUCAAACUUGCGUUGUAUUUCUUUAAAGAACCCUUGUCUAGGCAACAUAUUUAACACUUUAACCCCUUCAAUUCUCCUUUAGCAAUCCUGAAAAGAAUUUCUCCAUUCAUCACCAUUGAGGAGUAAGUACUCCUGCCUCGAAGGCUCUUAACAUCAGCACAGUCUUCAUUCUAGGCCCAAUUUUUACCUGGCCCAUGCCUCUAGCCUUUUGUUCAGUUUCCCCUGCUUAGGGCACCCAUCACAAUCUCUUUAGUUCCUCCACCCAUUAUAAACUAGAUCUCACCUUUCAUCCCAUCUAGACGUGUCUCCCUUUAAAUAUUCUAGGAGCUGAUAAAAGGGCUAGGAAGUAGGAAGUUGGGAAGAAAGAAAGGGGUGGGGGCAUAAGAGCUUUAGCACUCUAUUUUACAGGACAACUUGUCUCUGAAAAUGACAGAACCAAAAUGAAAUUAAAAGCUUGCUUUUACAAAUAUUUCUGAGCUAAUACUUAAAAGAGAGGAGUGGGAGGCUGAGGCGGGCAGAUCACGAGGUCAGGGGUUCGCGACCAGCGUGGCCAGCAUGGUGAAACCCCCAUCUCUACUAAAAAUACAAAAAUUAGCCCAGCAUGGCAGUGCGCACUCGUAGUCCCAGCUACUCGGGAGGCUGAGGCAGGAGACUCGCUUGAACCCGGGAAGUGGAGGUUGCAGUGAGCCGAGAUCGCACCACUGCACUUCAACCUGAGCGACAGGGCAAGACUCCGUCUCAAAAAAAAAAAAAAAGGCAGAGGAAAAGAGGGAGAGAGGGACCUUGGCAGGAGCCAAUGCAGGGCAGGUAGCAAUAGAAAGUGACUAGAGAACUGAAUAUCCAAAGGAAAGAGGGUGCAGAAAAGUCAGCAAAAACAAAACACAGUAGAAGACAUACCCAUUGCUGAUGCCCAAGCACAAGUCCAGCAGAAGGUGGUAGGAGACCUUGUGCAGGAGUAUUCCCAAGGGCAAAUGUUAACCAGACUGGAACCCAAAGGGCCUCGGGAUCUCUACUGGCUCCCUUAGUGGGCGACGUCUGGCUCUACGGACUCCUUCACGCAACAGGUAGUAUUGCAGUGGAUUUGGCCACAGAUCCUCUUUAAUAAUCUCAGCAAUUUUGUCGGACUCUGGAAGGCUGUGGUCUGAAAACCAGGUGAAGAAGCUGCAGAUGAGGUCUUGGUUUCUGCGAAUGAAGGACUGGGGUUCAUGCCCCCUGCGCCAUAUAAUUGGAGUAGAAAGGGACACCACCCGGCCGGAGGAUCUUACCUCAUAUUCCUUGACAAUCAGCUUGUUUCUGAAGUAGGGGUUUCUUCUAAAGAAGAACUUGAACUUGCAGCCGGUUCUAGGGUGUCUGAGUUCCUUCACCUCUAAAUUGGUUAUGUACCUUAACAUCUCUGCAUCUUGGCCCCUAAUCAUGGCGGACAACUGGGGAUGGUUUCGAAAAGCCGUCAUCCAGAAGCCCGGGAUAUUCUGAAUGAUGUAGUUCCUCCGCUCCAGGUAGUGUCGACGCAUCCGCCCAAACUUGUGCUCCAGCUGUUGGAAGGCCCUGUCGGCCUGAGCAUUCACAGUGUCCAGUUCCAGCUGGAUGGCCUCCAGAGGGUCCAUGCGGAGAGCCUCAUGCAGAGGCCAGGGCCCUUCCUCCUCCCUCGCCUCCUCCUCCACUCUAUCUUCCUCCGCCACUUCUAUUUCUUCACCUUCCGGCAGCUGCUCCUCUACCUCCAUCUGCUCCUCCACUACCUCCUUCUCCGCCAGGCCUUCCUUCACCACCACCUCAGCGCUCUCCCCCUCAGCCACGGCUGCUGAGACAGUGGCGCACUUUCCUGUCUUCACCUCCUCGGUGUCGUUCUCGGCCCCCGCCCCCGCCGGCAGCUCAGACGCGGAUCUCUCGGCGCCAUAGAUUUCUAGGGCCUUCUCUCCACCCUGAACGCCCUUUUUCAAGCUGCGGUCCACUGCCACCACCACCACAGAAGCGGCUGCCAGGCCCUCAGCGGGAGGCUGGCCCUCUUCCUGCCCGGCUUUGAUCGCCACAUGACCGCGACCCCCAAUAACUCGGAUCUGGGGAGUACUGCCACGGCCCGCGGGAUCCUGAGGUACGCCCCCCUCCUCUGAAGGCUGUGGAGGCGGGAGCGCGAUGGUCUCCGAGCCUCCCUCACCCGGCUCCGCCAUCACCUGUGUCGUCUCGCUUUGGUCGCGGAGCUUCAGGCACUGGUGUGCGUCCGGGUCGCUCGGGACGUGGUCAGAAAUAAUGAUGCUGUGGGUUUGGAGGGGAGGGGUCCUCUCGACCCCAUCCACGCCGCUCAUGUUGGUAACAGUCGGACCAACCGCAGGUGAACGCCCGUUUUCCUCAGAGAAGCCGAGCUCUGAGCUAACCGCCGCUCGCACCGCCCACCCGCCAGUCUCACU
ensembl:lncRNA